UACGGAGGGUGCAAGCAUUGAUCGGAAUUACUGGGCGUAAAGGGCGCGUAGGCGGUUGUAAAAGUCGAGUGUGAAAUUCCGGGGCUCAACCCCGGAGCUGCACUUGAAACUCUACAGCUAGAGUUCAGUUAGGGUAAACGGAAUUCCACGUGUAGCGGUGAAAUGCGUAGAUAUGUGGAGGAACACCAGUGGCGAAGGCGGCUUUCUGGUCUGUAACUGACGCUGAGGCGCGAAAGCGUGGGGAGCAAACAGG
rnacentral:rRNA from 1 species